rnacentral:rRNA from 1 species
GACGAACGCUGGCGGCGUGCUUAACACAUGCAAGUCGAACGGAAAGGCCCCUUUGGGGGUACUCGAGUGGCGAACGGGUGAGUAACACGUGAGUAACCUGCCCUUGACUUCGGGAUAACUUCAGGAAACUGGGUCUAAUACCGGAUAGGAAUCCUUGCUGCAUGGUGGGGGUUGGAAAGCUUCGGCGGUUUUGGAUGGACUCGCGGCUUAUCAGCUUGUUGGUGGGGUAGUGGCUUACCAAGGCUUUGACGGGUAGCCGGCCUGAGAGGGCGACCGGCCACAUUGGGACUGAGAUACGGCCCAGACUCCUACGGGAGGCAGCAGUGGGGAAUAUUGCACAAUGGGCGGAAGCCUGAUGCAGCAACGCCGCGUGCGGGAUGACGGCCUUCGGGUUGUAAACCGCGUUCAGCAGGGGCGAAGCUUGUGGUGACGGUACCUGCAGAAGAAGCACCGGCUAACUACGUG